rnacentral:rRNA from 1 species
CCUACGGGCGGCAGCAGUGGGGAAUAUUGCACAAUGGGGGAAACCCUGAUGCAGCGACGCCGCGUGAAGGAAGAAGGAGUGCGGGAUGGAAACUUCUAUCAGCAGGGAAGAAAAUGACGGUACCUGACGAAGAAGCCCCGGCUAACUACGUGCCAGCAGCCGCGGUAAUACGUAGGGGGCAAGCGUUAUCCGGAUUUACUGGGUGUAAAGGGAGCGUAGGCGGUUUCGCAAGUCAGAAGUGACAGCCCGGGGCUCAACUCCGGGACUGCUUUUGAAACUGUUGAACUAGCUUGCAGGAGAGGUAAGUUGAAUUCCUGGUGUAGCGGUGAAAUGCGUAGAUAUUAGGAGGAACCCCAGUGGCGAAGGCGGCUUACUGGACUGUACAUGACGCUGAGGCUCGAAAGCGUGGGGAGCAAACAGGAUUAGCUCCCCUUGUAGUC